GUCCACGUGGCCUAAUGGAUAAGGCGUCUGACUUCGAAUCAGAAGAUUGCAGUUUCCAGUCCUGUCGCGGACG
rnacentral:tRNA from 1 species